rnacentral:rRNA from 1 species
AGAGUUUGAUCCUGGCUCAGGAUGAACGCUAGCUACAGGCUUAACACAUGCAAGUCGAGGGGCAGCAUUGGGGUAGCAAUACUCAGAUGGCGACCGGCGCACGGGUGAGUAACACGUAUCCAACCUGCCGCUUACUCGGGGAUAGCCUUUCGAAAGAAAGAUUAAUACCCGAUGGUAUAAAGAGUUCGCAUGUUCUCUUUAUUAAAGAAUUUCGGUAAGCGAUGGGGAUGCGUUCCAUUAGAUAGUUGGCGGGGUAACGGCCCACCAAGUCUACGAUGGAUAGGGGUUCUGAGAGGAAGGUCCCCCACAUUGGAACUGAGACACGGUCCAAACUCCUACGGGAGGCAGCAGUGAGGAAUAUUGGUCAAUGGACGAGAGUCUGAACCAGCCAAAGUAGCGUGAAGGAUGACUGCCCUAUGGGUUGUAAACUUCUUUUAUAAGGGAAUAAAGUGAGGGACGUGUCCCUUUUUGUAUGUACCUUAUGAAUAAGGAUCGGCUAACUCCGUGCCAGCCGCCGC